AAUGGAAUAAAGGACGCAUGGAUCAGAA
rnacentral:piRNA from 1 species